UUUAUCUGAUAGCAGUAACUAAUUAUAGUCUAUACUUUCCUUUUCGUUGCAUGAAACCGGAAAUACACGUCAGCGCCUGAGCCUCGUAUCUGCAGUCACAAUUAAGACAUUGAACCAUUGGAUCAGUUAUUAGUGCCUUUAACCUAAAUAGACGCAUUCUCUAUGGUUUUCUGAAGCCCAGAUUCUCAUGUUUCGUGCAAAGCCAGUUACAUAUGCAAGAACUCAAAAAAUAUGUAUCUACGAACGUAUGUAUGACCUUUUGUUUUGAGUGUCUAU